GUAGGCCACUGGACCCAAAGUGAAGUUCCCUACAAGAAACCACAAGCUGUGCCUAUAUUUAUUUAUCCACUACAAAAUCAUCCAUGUUGGUGUCUUGAAAAAUCUAGGGUUUCAUGGUUGUUUUCUCGAAAAAUUAUGCUUCUCCUAGCUGGGGUGUUGAAGAACUAAUUAAAAUCCUCAAGUUAAAGCAGAUAAUUUUGCGUAUUUUCUACGAUGUCGAUCCUUCUCAAGUGCUAAAGCAAACUGGGUGUUUUGAUGAAGAUUUGGGUAUACAGAAGGAACGGUUAUUUGGGGAUUUGCGAAAUGUUGCUGACAGGCAUGAAUCUAAAUUUAUCGAGAAUAUUAUAGAAGAAGUCCUACCAGAGGUGAACCAAACACCUCUAGAUGUUGCUUGGUACCCAGUUGGAGUAGAUAUUUGUGUCAAAGAUAUAGAGUUGUUAUCGAAAAAUGAAUGUGUUGAUAAAGUUCACAUGGUUGGUACAUUUGGCAUUGGUGGAAUAGGAAAAACAGAGGGCAUCAAGUUGUACUUUUAAGUACGGAUUUGUUGAAGAAGCUAUGUCACUCUUUAAUAAGUUGGAAAGAAAGAGAACAAAUAUUAUAUUGUAUCUUACAAUAUAAUCAUUAAUGGCUUGUGCAAAAAUGGUAAACUUGACAAAUAUUAGAUGAAGCAAGAGGUAUGUUAAGAAAAUGGAGGACAACGGUUGUGUGCCGAACAAUGUCACAUACAAUGUUAUUGUGCAAGGUUUUCUCAGGUGUAGCAAAAUUAGUGAAAUGGCAACAUUCAUGAAGGAAAUGGUUGGAAGGGGAUUCUCAUUUGACGCAACUAUAACGGAGUUAUUGAUAAACUUUAUAAGGAAGAAUCCUUCUGUCCUUGACAUGAUACCAGAGCUUCAAUUGAUAAAUAAGAAGUGAACAUGUCUUUCACUUAAUUUGUUGGGCUAUCAAAUUAUCUGGGAAAUAAGUUGGAAAGAAAGAGAGAAAAUAUUCGUAUAGUAUCUUACAAUAUAAUCAUUAAUGGUUUGUGGAAAAAUGGUAAACUCGACAAAGCUCGUGCUAUAUUUGAGAAGCUUUCUUUAAUUGGAUUGCUUCCAGAUACAAGAACAUAUAAUAUAAUGAUAAAUGGAUUUUGUCUUGAAGGGUUGUUAGAUGAAGGCAUGAAGCAAGAGGUAUGUUAAGAAAAUGAAUGUGUAGAUGAAGUUCACAUGGUUGGUAUAUAUGGCAUUGGUGGAAUAGGAAAAACAAUUUUGGCAAAAGUAUCUCAAGAAGCCUGUGAUGUUCUACAAGGAAAGAAGUCUUUAUCUUGAUUAUAGUUUUUUUUAAACCUAAUCUCAUUUUUUAUUUACUCCUCAUUUCUGUGGACAACACAAGAGUUCAAUACAUUUGUGCUGCUUCUCUUGUUAGUAAAUUAAUUCUAGUUGUUUAUAGAAAUGAGCAUUUGAUAAAGUCAAACUCAUACUAUCAAGGGCAAAAAUUAUCAAAUCAAAAUUCACCUAUUUAACAAUUAUCCAAAUCAGUUCUUAUUAAAUUUAACGAGUAGUGUAGUGGUUAUAUAGACUAUAUUUCCGAGACUAGCUAUUCAAAUAUGUUUAAGUCUUUUUUUUUUUCAAAUCAAUUCAUCAUUUUUUUUGUGUAUUCUAUUGUUUAGUUAGUUCUUAUUAAAAAUCAAAUGAUUUUUUUUUUCCGGAAAUGAUGAGUUCUUAUUAACUCUCUAUGCUUAUAUCCAAUUGUAGAAAUUAAGCUUGCUUGAAGAAAUCAGGUAUAAGAAGUAACAACUUUAGAAAAGUACUGCAUAGUUAUACAUAUUGAACAAUCAUGUAAUUAUUACGUGUACUAUAUAUACGGAAUAUUCUAUUAUCAGGUUUCUGCAUUCUCUUUUGCCCUCUUUGUUCACCUUCGUUCUAAAAAAUAUGUAUUAUUUCUUAUUGAAUGGUGUUAGCUAGUAUCUGAAAGAAUCUCAUCUUAGCUCUUUGAGAAAUUUUACAUUUUUUGGUUUGCCAAAGAGGAUAAUGAAAUUGGUAGAGGCUGUUUGCAGAUCUUUCUUAUGGUCUGGUACUGCAGAGAGUGCAAAAAAAAAAAGAAGCAAAAACCUGCCUCCCGAAGGCAGGAGGGCAAAAUGUCAUGAAUAUUUGUCUUAGGAACAGAGCUGCAGUAAUCAAACAACUUUGGGCAAUUGCUGACAAGAAGGACCGUACCGCCUCUAGAUUAGGUGGGUGCAUAGCUAUUAUUUGAAGAAUGAAUCAGUGGACUCUUGCAACAUCCCUGGUAAUGCUACUUGGGUUAUAAGAAAGAUAGUGAGACUAGAAAGUUCAUCCUCCUAUCAACUUCUCUUCAGGGAGCCUUUCAUGCUAGGUUGGCAUCUAAGUUGCGCGGACUCUUCACUUCCAUUGCCUUACCCGUGUUGGAUUCUCCAAAAAUGCACUACUUUUGGAGUGUCUGACACGCACAUGUCGAUAUUUUUGAAGAGUCCGAGCAACAUAGGUUGGCAUCUGAUGUCAAGGGGAAUAAAUUGUCAAUCAAGAGCAUGUAUGUCACCCUGCUUCCAAUUGAUCUCAAAUUCCCAUGGAAAUCUCUCACACUACAACCAAGCAUUCAUCCAAGACAUAAAUUUACUUUGUGGUCAGCAGUGCAAAGAAGGCUAGCAACAUGCUUAGAUUUGGUAUUCAUGUGCCCCUGAAUUGUGUCUUUUGCAACUCUCUAGCUGAAUCAUUUGACCACCUGUUCUUCUCUUGUUCCAUCACCAAAGCAAUAUGGCAGAGAUUACUACUGUGUUUGGGCCUUCAAAGAAGUAUUGGUGACUAGCAAGAAAGGAAACUGGUAGAGAUGAGAUCAUCUGCUGUGUAUUUGCUAUUGUGGUUGCAUCUAUCUGGAAAGAGAGGAAUGGCAUCAGGUUUCAAAGAAGUGUUUAUCAGUGUAACAGGCUGCGCAGCGAGAUUGCAAUACAUAUCCACAUACACGGCAGAAUACAUAUCCAAUCGUCAGUGUAGCAAAAGUAAGUUUGAAGAAGUUGGAUCUCUAUGAUUGCAAGCAACUCAGAAGAACUCCAAACUUCAAUGGUUCACGAAGUCUAGAGACUGUGUUCAAGGGCGACAGAGGUCCACAAGUCAAUAGGAAUUUGGACAGAGUAAUUGAUUUAUGGAUCUUCCGAGCAACAUAUGCCAGCUAAAAUCUGUUGAUUCGUUGGACAUUAGGAGCUACUCAUCUAGACAAACGCUGCUAGUAGACCUGGGAGAGAUGCGAAAUCUACAAUAUCUUUUUGCACUUGAUGGCCUGGAUCUAUUGAAAUGCUAAGAGAUCUUGAAGUUUUAGAGGAGGAAGGUCAUUAUUUCCAUAGUCAUAAUCUUGCAUCUUGGCCUAAUGAAUUGCAUGAGUUAAAUAUUUAUUCCAAUGCGAUGGGAUUCCAGAUUGGCACAACAAUCAAGUAACGAGUUCAUCUAUCUGCUUCACUAUGGAGACACAUAUGGGGUAUGAAUUUUUUGAAAUGAUUUGUCUCGUGUGUUCGUAAGUUUGUCAACAUAUGUUUUCUAGUGGUGUGCAAGGCUUCUGCUGUUGUACUAUUGCCGAAAAAGAGACAAUGGUGUACUAUGCCUGCCGCACAAGUAGAACUUGUGUGUUCUCUACUGAUGUUACUUACAAGAACCUUUUGAUGGCCAGAUGAAUUCGCUAUGUUGUGCCGUAACUCAACACAAGGAAUUGGGAUCCCCUGUUCAUUUCUAAGAGUCAAUUCUGCAGAUGACUUGUCAUGUUAUUUAUCUUAUGAUACAAAGUUCGUAUCUGAAGCUUUUUAUAUUUAUUCUCUUUAGCGUCUUAAAGGAGAUAUGAGUAAUUUUCUGUUGAACUGGGGAUUUCUUGAGUAUUUUCCUAUUGUUGAAGGGUUGUGACUAUUAUGAGUUAUGACUGAGGUGGGGAUAGGGCUAUACAAGUUUAAACUUGUUUUUUUGGCUACUGUUCAUUUGGCUAAAGCGUAGACCAUUCAACUCUGAUUUUUAGUUGUAGUCUUAAUCACUCUUUGGCGUUGAGGGACGUCGGUGAUCAUAAGCUUGAUAUUUUACUAAUAUUUCUUCAUUCUUGUUCUGGUA